UGAACGCUAGCUACAGGCUUAACACAUGCAAGUCGAGGGGCAGCAUGGUCUUAGCUUGCUAAGGCCGAUGGCGACCGGCGCACGGGUGAGUAACACGUAUCCAACCUGCCGUCUACUCUUGGACAGCCUUCUGAAAGGAAGAUUAAUACAAGAUGGCAUCAUGAGUCCGCAUGUUCACAUGAUUAAAGGUAUUCCGGUAGACGAUGGGGAUGCGUUCCAUUAGAUAGUAGGCGGGGUAACGGCCCACCUAGUCUUCGAUGGAUAGGGGUUCUGAGAGGAAGGUCCCCCACAUUGGAACUGAGACACGGUCCAAACUCCUACGGGAGGCAGCAGUGGGGAAUAUUGGUCAAUGGGCGAGAGCCUGAACCAGCCAAGUAGCGUGAAGGAUGACUGCCCUAUGGGUUGUAAACUUCUUUUAUAAAGGAAUAAAGUCGGGUAUGCAUACCCGUUUGCAUGUACUUUAUGAAUAAGGAUCGGCUAACUCCGUG
rnacentral:rRNA from 1 species